GGUGAUUAGGGAAGAAAAACUUACUUAGAGUAUGUCAAGUUGAGGGCAGCAGAUCCCUUGUCGUUCAAAAAUUUGCUAACAAUUCCACCUAGCUCCUAUGUACUUGAAGUUUUUUGUAGUUGAGGUUGACUUAGAUUUUCUUCUACCUACCAAAUUUCAUAGUGAUCCGAGGUUUGACAUCCGAGAUGUGUGUUUUCAAAGCAAGGCAACUUGAGCUGCCUAGGCAGCAGACCCCCUUCUACUUAAAAAUUCACUAAAAAUCAAUUAAUAGUUUAAAGUUGACAAGUAUAAUUUUUCCUAAAACCAUACUUAGUAGAGUUCUUUUUUCAAUAAAUUUCAAAAAAAAAUAUGAGUAAAUGCUAAGAUAAAUUUUUUCAAAGCUAGUUGUUUAACACUGCUAAGGCAACAGAUCCCUAUGCAUUUAAAAAUUCAUUAAAAAUUUGAUAUAGAUUGGGAAUUA
rnacentral:lncRNA from 1 species